rnacentral:rRNA from 1 species
GACGAACGCUGGCGGCGUGCUUAACACAUGCAAGUCGAACGGAAAGGCCCUGCUUUUGUGGGGUGCUCGAGUGGCGAACGGGUGAGUAACACGUGAGUAACCUGCCCUUGACUUUGGGAUAACUUCAGGAAACUGGGGCUAAUACCGGAUAGGAGCUCCUGCUGCAUGGUGGGGGUUGGAAAGUUUCGGCGGUUGGGGAAGGACUCGCGGCUUAUCAGCUUGUUGGUGGGGUAGUGGCUUACCAAGGCUUUGACGGGUAGCCGGCCUGAGAGGGUGACCGGCCACAUUGGGACUGAGAUACGGCCCAGACUCCUACGGGAGGCAGCAGUGGGGAAUAUUGCACAAUGGGCGGAAGCCUGAUGCAGCAACGCCGCGUGCGGGAUGACGGCCUUCGGGUUGUAAACUGCUUUCGCCUGUGACGAAGCGUGAGUGACGGUAAUGGGUAAAGAAGCACCGGCUAACUACGUG